GACAGAGGUGCCAAGCGUUAGGCGGAAUCACUGGGCGUAAAGCGUGCGCAGGCGGUUUUGUAAGCCAGAUGUGAAAUCCCCGGGCUUAACCUGGGAAUGGCAUUUGGGACUGCAAGGCUGGAGUUUGGCAGAGGAGACUGGAAUUCCUGGUGUAGCAGUGAAAUGCGUAGAUAUCAGGAGGAAUACCGAUGGCGAAGGCAGGUCUCUGGGCUAUAACUGACGCUCAUGCACGAAAGCGUGGGGAGCAAACAGG
rnacentral:rRNA from 1 species